UCACCCCUCAAGCCCCUGUGCUUGGUGUUGGACGGCUUCGGUCGAGUAACGUCGACCCCUCCUAAAGACAAUGACGGCGGCCUGUGGAACCCCCGGUACACUGAGCUUUUAACCGAGCACGUAUCGGAUGAGGGUGCCCGGGACACGGUCCUCUCCUUUCACUAGGAAACUUUUCUUA
rnacentral:misc_RNA from 1 species